GUGUUGUAUGAAAGGAGAGAAGGUUAGCAUUUGCCUUGACAAGGAUGGAAGAGACCCAUGGGCUUAUCAACACACAUACGGUUAAGGCAUUGCCACCUACUUCAUGACAUCUAACCACUGUUUUUA